rnacentral:rRNA from 1 species
GAUGAACGCUGGCGGCGUGCCUAAUACAUGCAAGUCGAGCGAACAGACGAGGAGCUUGCUCCUCUGACGUUAGCGGCGGACGGGUGAGAAACACGUGGAUAACCUACCUAUAAGACUGGGAUAAUUUCGGGAAACCGGAGCUAAUACCGGAUAAUAUCUUGAACCGCAUGGUUCAAUAGUGAAAGACGGUUUUGCUGUCACUUAUAGAUGGAUCCGCGCCGCAUUAGCUAGUUGGUAAGGUAACGGCUUACCAAGGCAACGAUGCGUAGCCGACCUGAGAGGGUGAUCGGCCACACGGGAGCUGAGACACGGUCCAGACUCCUACGGGAGGCAGCAGUAGGGAAUCUUCCGCAGUGGGCGAAAGCCUGGCGGAGCGGCGCCACGUGAGUGAUGGAGGUCUUCGGUUCGGAAAACUCUGUUAUUAGUGAAGAACAAAUGUGUAAGUAGCUAUGCACGUCUUGACGGUACCUGAUCAGAAAGCCACGGCUAACUACGUG